CCCUUAGAUGUUCUGGGCCGCACGCGUGCUACACUGAGUAAUUCAAUGGGUAAGGGAACGCUAGAGCAUUACCUAAUCUUGAAAUUUGCUCGUGAUGGGGAUCGACGGUUGCAAUUUUCCGUCGUGAACGAGGAAUACCUUGUAGGCGCAUGUCAUCAUCAUGCGCCGAAUACGUCCCUGCCCUUUGUACACACUGCCCGUCGCUCCUACCGAUUGAGUGAUCCGGUGAGGCUCUGGGACCUGGACGGAAAGAGCGUUUCGCUUGUUCUGUUUGGGAAACUUGGUCGAACCUUAUCAUUUAGAGGAAGGAGAAGUCGUAACA
rnacentral:rRNA from 1 species